AUUGAACGCUGGCGGCAGGCUUAACACAUGCAAGUCGAGCGGGGUGAUGGUGCUUGCACUAUCACUUAGCGGCGGACGGGUGAGUAAUGGUUAGGAAUCUGCCUAUUAGUGGGGGACAAGAUCUCGAAAGGGAUGCUAAUACCGCAUACGUCCUACGGGAGAAAGCAGGGGAUCACUUGUGACCUUGCGCUAAUAGAUGAGCCUAAGUCGGAUUAGCUAGUUGGUGGGGUAAAGGCCUACCAAGGCGACGAUCUGUAGCGGGUCUGAGAGGAUGAUCCGCCACACUGGGACUGAGACACGGCCCAGACUCCUACGGGAGGCAGCAGUGGGGAAUAUUGGACAAUGGGGGGAACCCUGAUCCAGCCAUGCCGCGUGUGUGAAGAAGGCCUUAUGGUUGUAAAGCACUUUAAGCGAGGAGGAGGCUCUUUUGGUUAAUACCCAAGAUGAGUGGACGUUACUCGCAGAAUAAGCACCGGCUAACUCUGUGCCAGCCGCCGCAGUAAGAC
rnacentral:rRNA from 1 species